ensembl:lncRNA
GGUUGUUGUGUUGAGAGAUUGGUAGGUGGAGUCUUGGGUUGUUGUGUUGAGUGGUUGGGAGGUGGAGUCUUGGGUUAUUGUAUUGAGUGGUUGGUAGGUGGAGUCUUGUGUUUUGAAUGAGGGAUUGGUAGGUGGAGUCUUGGGUUGCUGUGUUGAGUGGUUGGGAGGUUGGAGUCUUGGGUUGUUGUGUUGAGUGGUUACGAGGUGGAGUCUUGGGUUGUUGUGUUGAGUGGUUGGGAGGUGGAGUCUUGGGUUGUUGUGUUGAGUGGUUGGGAGGUGGAGUCUUGGGUUGUUGUGUUGAGUGGUUGGGAGGUGGAGUCUUGGGUUGUUGUGUUGAGUGGUUGGGAGGUGGAGUCUUGGGUUGCUGUUUUGAGGGUUUGGUAGGUGGAGUCUUGGGUUGUUGUGUUGAGUGGUUGGUAGGUGGAGUCUUGGGUUGCUGUGUUGAUUGGUUGGUCGGUGGAGACUUGGGUUGCUGUGUUUUGUGGUUGGUAGGUGGGAUCUUGGGUUUUUCUGUUGAAUGGUUGGUCAUUGGAGUCUUGGGUUGCUGUGUUGAUUGGUUGGUCGGUGGAGUCUUGGGUUGCUGUGUUGAGUGGUUGGUUGGUGGAGUCUUGGGUUGCUGUGUUGAGUGGUUGGUAGGUGAAGUCUUGGGUUGCUGUGUUGAGUGGUUGGUAGGUGAAGUCUUGGGUUGCUGUGUUGAGUGGUUGGCAGGUGAAGUCUUGGGUUGCUGUGUUGAGUGGUUGGUAGGUGGAGUCUUGGGUUGCUGUGUUGAGUGGUUGGUAGGUGGAGUCUUGUGUUUUGAAUGAGGGAUUGGUAGGUGAAGUCUUGGGUUGUUGUGUUGAGUGGUUGGGAGGUGGGAUCUUGGGUUUUUCUGUUGAAUGGUUGGUCAUUGGAGUCUUGGCUUGCUGUGUUGAGUGGUUGGUAGGUGGAGUCUUGGGUUGCUGUGUUGAGUGGUUGGUAGGUGGAGUCUUGGGUUGCUGUGUUGAGUGGUUGGUAGGUGGAGUAAAUUUUCAUCAUCUGGUUUCUUCCCUGCACCUGGGUCCAACCUCACCACGUCACACAGAACCUCAGGUGAUUUCCACAAAGCUGUGAAAGAUCUGAGGCAAGGCAAAAAUGGCCUUCUACACCAUCAAAAGGAACAACAAAUUCUGUCUAAAUAUACGUAAACCAGUUGUAGAAAGCAGUUAUUGCCCUUGAUGGUUGUGUUGAAUGGGAUGUGCUCCCUGACCAAACAUUCACAAAAUGGGACAAAAACACAUUGAGAAUCUGCAGAAUUCUACAAAAACAUCCUCUUACAAGGUAAAACACCAAAUAAUGCCAUGUAGAAUUAGCACCUCACGCUG